rnacentral:rRNA from 1 species
UGGGGAAUAUUGCACAAUGGGCGCAAGCCUGAUGCAGCCAUGCCGCGUGUGUGAAGAAGGCCUUCGGGUUGUAAAGCACUUUCAGCGGGGAGGAAGGCGUUAAGGUUAAUAACCUUGGCGAUUGACGUUACCCGCAGAAGACGCACCGGCUAACUCCGUGCCAGCAGCCGCGGUAAUACGGAGGGUGCAAGCGUUAAUCGGAAUUACUGGGCGUAACGCGCACGCAGGCGGUCUGUCAAGUCGGAUGUGAAAUCCCCGGGAUCAACCUUGGAACUGCAUUCGAAACUGGCAGGCUAGAGUCUUGUAGAGGGGGGUAGAAUUCCAGGUGUAGCGGUGAAAAGCGUAGAGAUCUGGAGGAAUACCGGUGGCGAAGGCGGCCCCCUGGACAAAGACUGACGCUCAGGUGCGAAAGCGUGGGGAGCAAACAGG